CUACCUCCAGGAGGAACUCUUGAGGUGGGCAGAAAGGCAAUAGAUUCUAGACCCAUUCACCUCUGUGGGUAAGCAUAGGGAAUCUGGGCCCAGCUGUAAACAUAGAGGAGCCUGAGUUGGGGGGUGAUGAAGUGACCCUAACCUAUCCCUGGGCUCCCCAGGAUGCUGCGCUCUCUGCUUUCAGCCCAGGGGGUGUCUCCUCAGAUGAUAACAGUUUUCAUUGACGGCUACUAUGAGGUGAGCAGGACUUGGGGGGUGCCUCGGGUGGAGCACAACAUGGAGCAGCAGUGAUUGCCAGGGACGGGCAAGGGAGACCGCCCAGGCAAGGGCUGUGAAAUGUGAAGGCCUUGGAUUGCAGAGGUGGGCAGGGAGAAAGUGACCUCACAUGGUGAGCAGUGGCCAUGUCCCCCAGGAACCCAUGGAUGUGGUGGCACUGUUUGGUCUGAGGGGCAUCCAGCAUACUCCCAUCGGCAUCAAGAAUGCCCGUGUGUCUCAGCACUACAAGGCAAGCCUCACUGCCACUUUCAACCUGUUUCCGGAGGCCAAGUUUGCUGUGGUUCUGGAAGAGGACCUGGACAUUGCUGUGGAUUUUUUCAGUUUCCUGAGCCAAUCCAUCCACCUGCUGGAGGAGGAUGACAGCCUGUACUGCAUCUCUGCCUGGAAUGACCAGGGGUAUGAACACACGGCUGAGGACCCAGCACUACUGUACCGUGUGGAGACCAUGCCUGGGCUGGGCUGGGUGCUCAGGAGGUCGUUGUACAAGGAGGAGCUUGAGCCCAAGUGGCCUACACCGGAAAAGCUCUGGGAUUGGGACAUGUGGAUGCGGAUGCCUGAACAACGCCGGGGUCGAGAGUGCAUCAUCCCUGACGUUUCCCGAUCCUACCACUUUGGCAUUGUCGGCCUCAACAUGAACGGCUACUUUCAUGUGAGUGGGAGGCAGGGAGCAGGGCACAGUGUGGCAUGACAGUCAAGAACAAGAACAUGGACUCUGAAGCAGUCUUAGCUCUGCUACUUGCUAGCCAUGUAACCUUGGGGAAAGAACUAUCCUAUUUUUGCCUCAGUUUCUUUAUCUGAAAAAUGAGGAUAAAGGGCUGGGCGCGGUGGCUCAUGCCUGUAAUCCCAGCACUUUGGGAGGCCGAGGCGGGCGGAUCACGAGGUCAGGAGAUCGAGACCAUCCUGGCUAACAUGGUAAAGCCUCAUCUCUACUAAAAAUACAAAAAAUUAGCUGGGCCUGGUGAUGGGUGCCUGUAGUCCCAGCUACUUGGGAGGCUGAGGCAGGAGAAUGGCGUGAACCCGGGAGGCGAAGCUUGCAGUGAGCCAAGAUCACGCCACUGCACUCCAGCCUAGGCGACAGAGCGAGACUCCAUCUCAAAAAAAAAGAGGAUAAAAUACUGUUACCUCACUUCACUGGGUUACGAUAUUUUGAGGUUUAAAUGAGUCAAUAUAUAUAAAAUGCUUUGAGUUAUAAACAUAUAUAAGGGUCAGCUGGUAUUAUUUUUAUUUUUACUAUUUUUAGCACUAGACUAUGGGUGUCUGGGGAGAGUAUUUCUGCCUCUAAGUACUGGUCCAGCCCUGCAAUCUCUGCCCUUUCCUGUUUUGGCAAGUGCUGGAGCCUAUGCUUCAGCCUGAGGAGAACAGGGAAGUCCUUAGGUACCCCCACCCCACCUGGCUGCAUUUAGAGGACCAUUCCCCAGUUACAGCAGCAAGGGAGGCCUUGAGCCAGCCCAGCCCAAAGGAAUGGAUAGCGUCUAGCUUGGAACCUCCUAGAAGCCAGAGGCCCCUCAGAGGCUGACUAAUACGCGACCACCAUUCCUCUCCCAGAGAGGGGCAGGCACUUCCUUCAGGUCACUCUCAGUACCAGAGUCAAAGUAGUUUUUUCCUUCCCAGCCCAGCCCGUCCCUUUGCCCACCACCUCCUGCAGGGCCUGUUUCUGACAUCUGUGGCUCUAGAACAGCAGGCCCAGGGAGAACUACAAGAGGCAGGGACUGCUAGUUCAUGGGUCUGUAGUGCAGUACCGUGAGCUGCCGUGACAGCAUGAGCUCUCCAGCAAUGGUGGAGGCUAAAUUAAAGCUAGUAAGAGCUUGCUGAGGGUGCUGCAAAGAGGAUGAAGAAGAUGGGGGGAAAUUAGAGGGCUCUUUACAGGUCUAGGACUUCAUUUGUGUGUCUUAUAGAUGUCUGGCUGGUCAGCAAGUGGGUGUGGGCCAGACAAUGUGAGGUGCUGAUUUUCACUCUCAUACCCACUCCAGGAGGCCUACUUCAAGAAGCACAAGUUCAACACGGUUCCAGGUGUCCAGCUCAGGAAUGUGGACAGGUUGGGGCUGGCAGCAGGCCAAGGGGUGGAUAUCUAGGAGAUUUGGAGGCCAGUCCCUGAAAGUCCCUUCCAAUCCUGGGCCUGUGUGUUUACCCCAGCCCUGCUGCUACAGAUUCCCAUGUGACCCCCUUGCCCUGCUCAGUGCUACCCAUGGGACCUGAGGGCCUGCCCACUCCCCUGACCCAUUUCUCCCUCCUCUUCAGUCUGAAGAAAGAAGCUUAUGAAGUGGAAGUUCACAGGCUGCUCAGGUAUGGCCUAGGACAAUUGGGGUGUAGCAGGGAGCAAAGAGUCAAGUACUGGGGAUCUUGGCCCCAUAAUUUACAGGGUCCUGUGCAAAAUGAAAAUCAGGGCCCUAAUCUCAAACAUUAGGAACUUCAGGCCGGGCGCAGUGGCCCACGCCUUUAAUCCCAGCACUUUGGGAAGCUGAGGCGGGUGGAUCAUGAGGUCAGGAGAUCGAGACCAUCCUGGCUAACACGGUGAAACCCCGUCUCUACUAAAAAUACAAAAAAUUAGCCAGGCAUGGUGGCAGGCGCCUGUAGUCCCAGCUACUUGGGAGGCUGAGGCAGGAGACUCCAGUGUGGGCGACAGAGCGAGACUCCGUCUC
rnacentral:sRNA from 1 species